GACGAACGCUGGCGGCGUGCCUAAUACAUGCAAGUCGAGCGAAUGGAUUAAGAGCUUGCUCUUAUGAAGUUAGCGGCGGACGGGUGAGUAACACGUGGGUAACCUGCCCAUAAGACUGGGAUAACUCCGGGAAACCGGGGCUAAUACCGGAUAGCAUUUUGAACCGCAUGGUUCGAAAUUGAAAGGCGGCUUCGGCUGUCACUUAUGGAUGGACCCGCGUCGCAUUAGCUAGUUGGUGAGGUAACGGCUCACCAAGGCAACGAUGCGUAGCCGACCUGAGAGGGUGAUCGGCCACACGGGGAGUGAGACACGGCCCAGACUCCUACGGGAGGCAGCAGUAGGGAAUCUUCCGCAAUGGACGAAAGUCUGACGGAGCAACGCCGCGUGAGUGAUGAAGGCUUUCGGGUCGUAAAACUCUGUUGUUAGGGAAGAACAAGUGCUAGUUGAAUAAGCUGGCACCUUGACGGUACCUAACCAGAAAGCCACGGCUAACUACGUGCCAGCCGCCGCAGUAA
rnacentral:rRNA from 1 species